CGGGGCGUGGCUCAGUUUGGUAGAGCGCUUGAUUUGGGAUCAAGAGGCCGCAGGUUCGAAUCCUGUCGCCCCGA
rnacentral:tRNA from 1 species